CUCUGACCCUGAGCCUCACAGCAGUGCCGUGAGGUAGGGACUCUGAUUCCAAAAUUAGAGAUGGGGAAACUGAGGCCCAGAGUUCUCCAGGGAUAGGACUGGGGUUGAACUCAGGUCUCGGACUGUAAGUCUUUCCACUGUCCUGGGACACCUCUCUCUGGGGUGGGGAGGAGAACCAGGCAGUGCUCCACGGAAACGACUAAGGGGUCCAAAAAAGUCAUUACUUUUGGCAUUUACGCAACAACUAUGAGGACAAAAAGCCUGAGUUUCUUUUUCUCUUGACUCACCACGACAGAAAUUUACCCUCUCACAGUUCUUGAGGCCAAAAGUCCAAAGUCAAGGUGUCGGCAGGGCCGAGCUCCCUCUGCAGGCUCUGGGUGGGGGUCGGGGGGUCCUUCUCGCCUCUUCCAGCUCCUGGUGGCUCCAGGUGUUCCUUGGCUCCACAUCUCUGCCUCCGUCUUCACAUGGCUUUUUUUCCCUCAAAAGCCUGAGUUCCUGAAGCACCUUUUGCCCUGGGCGGGUAGUUAUUCCCCCCUGCACUUCGUACAGACCUGUGAGCACACUUAUCCCAAUAUUUUCGGUUUGCAGGUACUCAUUAGUACUCAGUGCGAUUCCUCACCCGGCACCGAGGCUGGGGCGUGAGCUUGAGGAAGGUUGUUCUCUGGAAGAGGGGCUGCAGCCAGGGGGCCACUGAUCUGACCAGAAACUCAUUCACACGGGAGGUGUCUGCAGCCUCCCAGGCCCAGCCACUCUGCCCACCAGCCAAGCUCAGAAGUUUGGCCUCCAUCACUGUCCAAGGCCUUCCGGGGGAUCCUGGGGAAGCGGGGACCUUGGACCGGCUACCAGCCUCCUGCUGGAGAUGACAGGAAGACAGUCCCCCUGCCGGGAGGGACGAUGAAGACAGGUACCCAGGAAGGUGACCGUGGAAGUGACUGUCCAACCUGUAACACCGGAGGGAACAAAAUUUCUACUUAUAAGUCUUUAAACUUUUUAGUAAAUUUUAGCCCAUUAUGCUUGCUCAGUUUUGAAGUAGCAAAAAGUUCAAAAUUUUGUAAAUGUCUAGACCUUGAGAAUUAGUUUGGAGAUAAGGAUAGACAUGAAACGUGUGUGAGUGUGUGUGUGUGUGCAAAGGGAUCUGGAAGUUUCCACACCAAGAGUUUAAAUAAUAGAAUCUUCUGGGCGGGUUAGAUUACGACUUUUUCUUCCCUGAUGAACAAGACUUGCUUCUGUAGUAAGAAAAAACAUAAAGUAAAUGUGACAAAACAAAA
rnacentral:lncRNA from 1 species